CCUACGGGAGGCAGCAGUGAGGAAUAUUGGUCAAUGGACGAGAGUCUGAACCAGCGAAGUAGCGUGAAGGAUGACUGCCCUAUGGGUUGUAAACUUCUUUUAUAUGGGAAUAAAAUGUUCCACGUGUGGGAUUUUGUAUGUACCAUAUGAAUAAGGAUCGGCUAACUCCGUGCCAGCACCCGCGGUAAUACGGGGGAUCCGAGCGUUAUCCGGAUUUAUGGGGUUAAACGGGUGCGUAGGGGGAUCGUUAAGUCAGUGGUAAAAUUGAGGGGCUCAACCCCUUCCCGCCAUUGAAACUGGCGCUCUUGAGUGGAAGAGAAGUAUGCGGAAUGCGUGGUGUAGCGGUGAAAUGCAUAGAUAUCACGCAGAACCCCGAUUGCGAAGGCAGCAUGCCGGCUUCCGACUGACGCUGAAGCACGAAAGCGUGGGGAUCGAACAGGAUUAGAUACCCGUGUAGUC
rnacentral:rRNA from 1 species